UACGAAGGGUGCAAGGCGUUACUCGGAAUUACUGGGCGUAAAGCGUGCGUAGGUGGUUCGUUAAGUCUGAUGUGAAAGCCCUGGGCUCAACCUGGGAAUGGCAUUGGAAACUGGCGACCUAGAGUGCGGUAGAGGGUAGUGGAAUUCCCGGUGUAGCAGUGAAAUGCGUAGAGAUCGGGAGGAACAUCUGUGGCGAAGGCGACUGCCUGGACCAGCACUGACACUGAGGCACGAAAGCGUGGGGAGCAAACAGG
rnacentral:rRNA from 1 species